rnacentral:rRNA from 1 species
CCUACGGGAGGCAGCAGUGAGGAAUCUUGGUCAAUGGCCGAGAGGCUGAACCAGCCAAGUCGCGUGAUCGAAUGAUGUCCUAUGGAUUGUAAACCUCUGUUGUCAGGGACGAAAGUCACCCACGUGUGGUUUUUUGUGAGUACCUGAAUAAAAAGCAUGGGCAAACUCCGUGCCAGCAGCCGCGGUAGUACGGAGGAUGCGAGCGUUAUCCGGAUUUAUUUGGUGUAAGGGGUGCGUAGGCGGGUUAUCAAGUCAGCGGUAAAAUCGUGGGGCUCAACUCCAUCCAGCCGUUGAAACUGAUGAUCUUGAGUGGGCGAGAAGUAUGCGGAAUGCGUGGUGUAGCGGUGAAAUGCAUAGAUAUCACGCAGAACUCCGAUUGCGAAGGCAGCAUACCGGCGCCCGACUGACGCUGAAGCACGAAAGCGUGGGUAUCGAACAGGAUUAGAUACCCGGGUAGUC